GACGAACGCUGGUGGCGUGCCUAAUACAUGCAAGUUGAGCGCUGAAGGUUGGUACUUGUACCAACUGGAUGAGCAGCGAACGGGUGAGUAACGCGUGGGGAAUCUGCCUUUGAGCGGGGGACAACAUUUGGAAACGAAUGCUAAUACCGCAUAAAAACUUUAAACACAAGUUUUAAGUUUGAAAGAUGCAAUUGCAUCACUCAAAGAUGAUCCCGCGUUGUAUUAGCUAGUUGGUGAGGUAAAGGCUCACCAAGGCGAUGAUACAUAGCCGACCUGAGAGGGUGAUCGGCCACAUUGGGACUGAGACACGGCCCAAACUCCUACGGGAGGCAGCAGUAGGGAAUCUUCGGCAAUGGACGAAAGUCUGACCGAGCAACGCCGCGUGAGUGAAGAAGGUUUUCGGAUCGUAAAACUCUGUUGGUAGAGAAGAACGUUGGUGAGAGUGGAAAGCUCAUCAAGUGACGGUAACUACCCAGAAAGGGACGGCUAACUACGUG
rnacentral:rRNA from 1 species